GUGUGUGUGCCCGCUCUCUGUCUACUCGAUCCCCAGUGAGUCAUGGUGGAUGGCUGCUUAUACUGAGCCAGGAUUCUCUGGAGGUUUCUUCCUGUUAAAAGGGAGUUUUCCUCUCCACUGUCGCUAAAUGCUUGCUUAGUAUGAGGAUUGUUGUAAAGUCACUGACACUAGUCAGUGACUCGAUGCAAUUUGCUGGGUUUCUUAUGAAGGAAACUUUUUUCUGAUUAGCUUAAUGAACUGAUCUGUAUUGGAAUGUUUAUUAUGUGAAGUGACUUGAGACGACUCAACGACGUGAUUUGGUGCUAUAUGAAUAAACUUGAAUUGAAUUGAAUUUAGAGCUGAAACAACUAAUCGAUUUAAUCGAUUAUAAUCGAUUAUUAAAAUAGUUAACAACUUUUUUAGUCAUCGAUUAGUUGUUUAAUAAUCAUAUUUUACCGCAUAAAGUCUAUUUUUAACCACAAUCUGACAUCGGUUACAAUCUGUUAAAUUUGCCGCCAGUGUGUGGCAGUAAUGAGCCACUGAUCUACCAGUGGAGCCGUAGAAGAAGAAAUGAGCCAAUAAGUGCCCUCGGUUUUCAUGACGUAUCACGUUACUGACGCUCAUCUUGCUGUGAGAGAUGGCGGAUCAACAAGAAAUACGGAAGAAAAAUAGAAGCGACAAAACAAGAGAAACCCCGGACAAAAACCUCACGAGUAUGGGAGCACUUCACUAGAUGCCUUGAAAAGACCGGUGACCUGCAAAAUAUGCAAAAACCAUGGCACGACGGAAGCACGACGUCCCUAAGUGAACAUUUGAGACGAAAACGUGGGGGCUGAUGCAGCAGAGGAAUGUCCGAAAAAAACAAGCAACGAUGGACAACUACAUGGGCAACAAGACACUCACCCCCAGCAAUGCAUACCACUUACAAACUCUAUUCCAGAUUCUACAUUAUUUUUUAUGGAAUUUACCUCUUAUAUUUUGAUGCCAAAAAAUUAUUCUGGACUGAUAUUUUGCACUGUUUAGCUCAUUUUACACCGCUGACUGUGUUCAUGUGCAAUAAAAUAGAUUGCAGUCAACUGCACAAUUC